CUGGCUGGCGUGCCUAAUACAUGCAAGUCGAGCGAACAGAUAAGGAGCUUGCUCCUUUGAAGUUAGCGGCGGACGGGUGAGUAACACGUGGGUAACCUACCUAUAAGACUGGGAUAACUUCGGGAAACCGGAGCUAAUACCGGAUAACAUUUAGAACCGCAUGGUUCUAAAGUGAAAGAUGGUUUUGCUAUCACUUAUAGAUGGACCCGCGCCGUAUUAGCUAGUUGGUAAGGUAACGGCUUACCAAGGCGACGAUACGUAGCCGACCUGAGAGGGUGAUCGGCCACACUGGAACUGAGACACGGUCCAGACUCCUACGGGAGGCAGCAGUAGGG
rnacentral:rRNA from 1 species